GCGCUCCAUGUUUGAUCAUUCCACUUUCUCCCAUUCUUUUUAAAUAGAAUUGGCCCGUCUCUACUAAAUACUCUCUGAUUUUACCCAAUUUGCUCGCAGCACCCGGAUGUGAUUGGUCACGUGACGAUCUUUAUUUGGUUUAAUUUAACAAUCCGGUGGAAUGAAAGUUAAAGUGCUUUGCAGAAAACCGGACGAUUAUGCUCGAGAGACAACCAGAGAUAUACAGCGAGGUAUGUCAACAUUAAUAUCAUUAUAUAAAGCUGGUGUUAUUGGAAGUACACACUCACUGCAGUAUUGUGCCCUAAGUGCCCAGGAAUUAUGACCCGACCCUGCAUCCCUUUGAGGUGCCCAGGGAAUACACCAGAGCCCUGAAUGCUGCCAAACUGGAGAGGGUGUUUGCCAAACCCUUUGUGGCUUCACUAGAUGGCCACAGAGAUCAGCUGCAUCACCAAACACGCCAAAAGCCUUUCAACAGUCAUAUCUGGAGCCUGUGAUGGCGAGGUUACGGUCACAGCAUUUAAUAUGCUCUCCAUCUUUUUGUUUUAAAGCUCUAUUAGGAGAAAUUGAGCACACUUCUAUACACUUACGCAUAUAGAUUCAGGAUUUUAUUUGUACUAUUACCAUACAAGAACAACAUAAACAUCCAAUACACAACUGCUGCUGUGUCCAGUAGCCCAAAUCAAAAGAGUGUGCAAAUGCCCAGUGAGAAAUGUCUGCAUUCAGGAUGAGGGAAUGACUGAUGGAUUCAUGAUUCUUCACUUUCUGACAGGUGUGGAACCUUUCUAAGCGUGAAUGUUUGAGGUAGGAGAUGACAAGACCAUCAAACAGUGGAACAUUGAGGCACCAGGAUAUGGAGUGAAGGAGGAACCUAUUAACACUAUUUUGGGGAAGGCCGUGUUCACAGGCAUCGACCACCACCAGAGGGAGGGCAUGUUCACAACCUGCGGUCAGAUGGUGGAAAUCUGGGAUGAGCAGAGAAUCAGCCCCAUCCGCUCCUUCAGCUGUGGUGUGGACCGCUUCAGCUGCAUCCGAUACAACCCUGUGGAGUUUUAGUUUUACUCUAGUUUUUCUUUUUCCUCUUCCUCCCCAUUUCCCUUUUUAUUUCCUUUCCAGUUUUCCUCUUCCUUGUACUCUUCCUUUUUAGUGUUAUUUCUUUUCCCUUCUCAUCCAUUUCCUCUUCCUUUUAGUUUUACUCUUUCCUCUUCCUUUACCUCUUCCUAUUUUCUUUCUUUCCUUUCCAGUUUCCUUUUCCUUGUACUCUUCCCCUCUUCGUUUUAGUUUUACUAUUUCUUUUCCCUCUUCUUAAUCCAUUUCCUCUUCCCUCUUUUAGUUUUCUUUUUGCGUUUUCCUCUUCUGUGUUGUAGUCCUUUUCCUCUUCCUUUCCCUCUUCAUCCCCUUUUUCCUUUCCAUUUUUCCUCUUAUUCACCUACAGGAAGGGAGUUUGUUUCCGCCAGCUUUGAUAAAACCAUUCGCAUCUUUCAGAAGGACAAAGGCCACAGCAGUAAACUACAGGGAGGUUUACCACACUAAACGUAUGCAGCAUGUCAUCUGUGUAAGAUGGUCGACUGACAACAAAUACAUCCUGAGCGGCUCAGAUGAAAUGAGCAUUCGCCUGUGGAAGGCCAGUGCCUCAGAAGCUCAGAGUGGUAAAAGAGAUUGCUUGUGUUACGAGAGAUCAUCAUCAUCAUCGUGUGACAGUUUCCAUAUGACAUUUUCUGCUCUGUGUCGGCUUUUGUGAACCUACAGCCUGUUGAACUCGUGUGCACUUUCGGUUCCAGAGAAAGCGCAGACUAUGAAACACAGAUGCAUGUAUCAGAUGAGCCCUUAUGAACUGCAGAACGCAAGAUGGAUGUCAUUGAAUUUGCUUGGGUGGUCUCCUGAAAAAGUUAUGCCAUAAACCCUGUUCAUGUUACUUCAAUUCAGUCUCAUGUGAAGCUCUGCCCACUGAUAGAUAAGAUUGGUGUUUUCAAUCAAUGGGAUGACAAUCAGGUGUGAGUGGGCACCCUGUUUUAUUUAAAGAACAGGGAUCUAUCAAAGUCUGAUCUUCACAAUACAUGUUUGUGGAAGUGUAUCAUUGCACGAACAAAGGAGAUUUCUGAGGACCUCGGAAAAAGAGUUGUUGAUGCUCAUCAGGCUGGAAAAGGUUACAAAACCAUCUCUAAAGAGUUUGGACUCCACCAAUCCACAGUCAGACAGAUUGUGUACAAAUGGAGGAAAAUCAAGACCAUUGUUACCCUCCCCAAGAGUUGUCGACCAACAAAGAUCUCCAAGAGCAAGGCGUGUAAUAGUCUGCGAGGUCACAAAGGAACCUAAGGGAACAAUGUAUGCAAACAAAGCAAGCCAGGAUCUGUUCCCGUGGUGACAGAGGAGAAGAAAUGUGGUGGCUGUUGUAGAAUAAAAGAUUAUUUAAAGAGGUGGUAUCAGUGAAUGGGUAUCUGUUCUUCACACAUGGACACGUUCCAGAAUAUUCCACCCUUGUCCCCUCUUGUAUGGCAGUAAAAAUUGACCUUUUUUUUUUUUUUUUGUGUGUGUGUGUGCAUUAUAUAUAAUAUAUAUGAACUUUUAGCAUACAUUUAUCAUGUAGUAUGCUGAUACUUUUGAGUUUGUUACAUACACGUUCAGUGGAGGUUUUUUUUUUUUUUUUUUUUUUAUAAUAAAGUUUUUACAUGGACAAAUACUGAGCGUGGAAAUCAUUCUAGCCCGGCUGUUUUUAUAAUUUGGUUGACUGAGCAAUAAAAUCUUCAGGUGUAAAAUGAUCUGAAACAUCUUUAUUUGUGAGUUGUCAUGUUUCCAAUUUACCCUUUGCUAACCAUGACAUGUUUUACUGUGGUUUUUGGAUAAUUGCUGUAAAAUGUCUGUAAUACAUCAAGGCAGCGUUCAGCAAAGCUUAGGCCAGAUGUCUCCAUUCUCAUAGACCUAUGUACCACCUUAAAAUAAAUGCAAACCUUUUGUUUUACAACUUUCUUUUCUUGUGUUGUGUAUAAUCUUCUCAUCCUGUAAAAGACUUAUUGCUCUGAGACAAACUACUUUUCACAUCUUAAGUCCAUAAUCUCAUCAUCUCAAUCUGAUCUCAUUUAAACAACAUGACGAAUAAAUAAACAC